rnacentral:rRNA from 1 species
AGUUUGAUCCUGGCUCAGAUUGAACGCUGGCGGCAGGCCUAACACAUGCAAGUCGAACGGUAACAGGAAACAGCUUGCUGUUUCGCUGACGAGUGGCGGACGGGUGAGUAAUGUCUGGGAAACUGCCUGAUGGAGGGGGAUAACUACUGGAAACGGUAGCUAAUACCGCAUAACGUCGCAAGACCAAAGAGGGGGACCUUCGGGCCUCUUGCCAUCGGAUGUGCCCAGAUGGGAUUAGCUAGUAGGUGGGGUAACGGCUCACCUAGGCGACGAUCCCUAGCUGGUCUGAGAGGAUGACCAGCC